rnacentral:lncRNA from 1 species
CUAAAAGCGAGGUUCUUUGUGAGUUGGUGCUGCUGCUUUGUUUCCGUGAAAUGCGUUAGGUUUUCGGGAGAGGGGAUUUUUAAAUUUCUUUCCCUUGGAAUGUCCUGCUUGAGAAUGCUGUGCUUACUGAUUUGGGCCUUAGGAUUUCCGUACCCAAUUAGAGGCAGGGGCCUGAUGUAUAGAUGCCCCUUUUCUGGUGCCACUUAAUGCAGUUAUACUGUGAGGAAAAACAGAACAAAGGAUACUCAUCUCUUACUCCCUAAGCAAGAAAUUUUUUCCAUCAUUAGUUCAGGUCAGUCUAGAGAUUCAGCUGCAACUGAUUAAAAUCAGACUCUGGAGUUCCCAUUGUGGCUCAGUGAUUAGCAAAUCUAACUAGGGAUCAUGUGGUUGCGGGUUUGAUCCCUGGCCUCGCUCAGUGGGUUAAGGAUCUGGUGUUGCUGUGAGCUAUGGUGUAGGUCACAGACUCGGCUCAGAUCUGGCAUUGCUGUGGCUGUGGUGUAGGCCAGCAGCUACAGCUCUGAUUAGACCCCUAGCCUGGGAACCUCCAUACGCUGUGUGGGCAGCCCUAGAAAAGACAAAAAAAAUUUUAAAAUAAAAUCAGACUGCUUGUUAAGUUACAGUAAAAUGUAGUAAGAAACAGGAGGGAGCCUGUCUUUUUUUUAAAACCAGAAUACUUCCAGAGAAGGAAAUUCAUAUAAGACAUCACACUGCGUGUAUGAAUGGGCCAAUGAAAAUUUCAUGGAAAAGUUAGGAAUAGAGGCUGAAAAGUAUAUGCUUCACGAAUCAAAGUCAGACUUGGCAAACAUCUAAGUGCCUAUAUUAUUCCACACACAUUUCCUUAAUUGAUCCUCAACAAUUCUUUGAGGUAGGAAUUACUCUCAUCUGACAGGUAAUCUUCAGUUACUUGUCCACAGUUGGAGCCCUACCCCAAUCCUAGAAUAACUGCUAUGUCUGCUACAUCAUACUAUCUUAAUUAUGUAACAGAUAAUGAUAAAAAAAAUGUUGCCAGUAGGACCUUUAAUUUUAGAUAAUAAGGAUUAAAGAGUAAGAAAUUCUUUUUUUUUGGUCAUUUUUUUAGGGCUGUGACCAAGGCAUAUGGAGGCUCCCAGGCUAGAGGUCGAAUCACAACUGUAGCUGCUGGCCUAUGCCACAGCCACAGGGACACAGGAUCUGAGUCGAGUCUGUGACCACACAGCUCACGGCAAUGGCCGGAUCCUUAACUCUCUGAGAAAGACCAGGGAUCGAACCUGCGUCAUCAUGGAUGCUAGUCAGAUUUACUAACCACUGAGCCACGUGGGAACUCCCAAGAAAUUAUUCUGAUAUUCAGAUAGCAGAUUGAUUUCUUCUGAUUUUCAACAGUCAUAGAAAUAAUUCUCUAAAAAUUGUUGUCCAAUUCAACUGGUACUAACCCGUGUCUCUUUAAACUUAAAAUAUAGCCAGUAUAAUUCAGAAACUGAAUUUUAAU